GACGAACGCUGGCGGCGUGCCUAAUACAUGCAAGUCGAACGCUUCUUUCCUCCCGAGUGCUUGCCCUCAAUUGGAAAGAGGAGUGGCGGACGGGUGAGGAACACGUGGGUAACCUACCCAUCAGAGGGGGAUAACACUUGGAAACAGGUGCUAAUACCGCAUAACAGUUUAUGCCGCAUGGCAUAAGAGUGAAAGGCGCUUUCGGGUGUCGCUGAUGGAUGGACCCGCGGUGCAUUAGCUAGUUGGUGAGGUAACGGCUCACCAAGGCCACGAUGCAUAGCCGACCGGAUAGGGUGAUCGGCCACACUGGGACUGAGACACGGCCCAGACUCCUACGGGAGGCAGCAGUAGGGAAUCUUCGGCAAUGGACGAAAGUCUGACCGAGCAAUGCCGCGUGAGUGAAGAAGGUUUUCGGAUCGUAAAACUCUGUUGUUAGAGAAGAACAAGGACGUUAGUAACUGAACGUCCCCUGACGGUAUCUAACCAGAAAGCCAGAGCUAACUACGUG
rnacentral:rRNA from 1 species